UUAAACAGGUUGUUUUCAUGAGAGAAACACACUAUGCUACAGGUAGUGGGGUCUCCCCACAUCUACUCACACCAACCCAGAUACCCGGGAAAGAUUGUAGCAGCAAAUAUGUGAAGGCAAAGUGGAAUCAAAAGAUAUUGCAGAGUCUGUGUUCUCAUAGUCUUGCAUUAAACAAGAUUAACAUAUUAGAAAGUUUUCCUCCAGGGGAAAUGACACCGUGGACUUCAAUUUUACCUGCUGACCCUCUGACAUGGCCAGCAUUCAUUAGAUUAGAUGAUGGAGCGCCAGAAGUCUCUACAUGAAAACUGUGGUUGCUGGGUGCAAUAGGAACUGACUCAGCAUGAGAUGUGACCUUCUGAAGUCUCUUGGUUUACACAUCAAGAAAGACAGUGAUUGAUUCCCCCAGUACCUUUUUUCAGGGCAGAAGAACACACCUCAGAGCUUUGCAGAAGCUGCAAUAAGGUUGAAGGAUGUGAGCAGUGACCUAUGGCCUGGUUUGCAGCAGGUCCCACAGAGAAAGAAAGAUGGGGCCAUUCUCAACAGGAGUGGGGACACAUGGCCACCUCAGCCCAGUCAGCGGGCCAAGAACUGGAUCUGGUAUGUUGGAGCUACGUUGGUCAAGCCACUCUCCUUGGGCCUGAGGUCAAUGUCCUUAGGAGCCACGGGACUGGACACAGAGAAGUUCUGGAGGAUGGUCGUGAAGAAAAGGAACAAUUCGUUGCGGGCAAUGCCUUCGCCAAGACAAAUGCGCUUUCCUGUGGGCACAGAGAAUGAGCCAUGUGAGCCCCGGAGAUUGGUCCCAAUCUCAUUGGCUGCCCUAAAGGUGAAGGUGCUGUUUACAGAGACUCUUAGACCAACAACUGAAUGGCAUUAAGGGCCCUAGAAGAGCCAGUCAUGGGGGUACAUGCCUGCAAGUGCACGUGGAAGAUUACAGCAUGAAGAUGAUGGAAUACAUACCAAGAGCUCUCGGUCUGUCCCCUGCCUCUGCCCCCUGUCUCUCAUCCCCAGUCCUCUCUGUUUCUCUCUCUCCCUUUCUCUCUCUCUCUUCCUUUCCUCCCUCUCUCACUCUGUCCUAUUUCUCUCUUUCUCUUUCUCAGUCCCCUUUGCUUCUUCAGCUUGAGAUUGAUCAACUUAAACUAGCUCCUGAAUACAUUUUUUUAUGUAAUUGAGAAUGAGCAGGAGCACAUGAUAAGGUAUCUAUGGCACCCAGCAAAUUCUCAGAGGUAUAAGGAGCCCUUGUUUGUUUGUUUGUUUCCUCCAGCAUGGAGCAGCACAGAGCAAGGGAGCCUGAAAGCCCAGGCAAAGGCUUCACCACCUGCCCUGUACCUCAGUGAUUCUUAAUCUGCAGUUGGCUGCCUCAGGCCUUCAGGUGGAGGAGGGAUUUUCCAGCAACCACUGUGUCCUCCAAUUCUUGGGACAUCAUGCCUGUGUAGGAGUAUGUAGGGAAAGCACCCUACCCACUUAGACCCCACCUUUUCAGAAUUUAGGUGGCACAAGCUUAGAAAUUCAUGGAGAAGUCUCUGAGAUGGUUCUCCUAGAACUGGUUUUGAGACCCAGGUUAUUCCAGAGCUGCUUUUAACAUCUUAUUUACUGUAAACACAAAGCCCCCAUACCUGGCGCUGGGUAUUUAGGACACAAUUUAUGUCUCUUUGGCUCUAAUACAUUUUGUCUAUCUCUCUCUCUUUACUUUUUUCUUUUUGCCAAUUGCAACUUACCAGAACCUGUGUCUGUACCUGUCACUACUAUUUGUCUUUUGAGCUAUUCUGUCCACUUGUGUCUUUCUAAACUCCCUAGAUAGCAUCUCAGCCCCUCCCAUUUUUCUGUCCAAGGACACCUUGUCACAUCUUCCUUCUGUGUCUUCCCUCCUGCUUCUUGGUCUCUUUCUAGUUGUGCCUUUCUCCCCUCCCCUUCUCUCUCCCCUUCCUCUCUUCUUGACUUACUUCUUCACCUCUGGUUCUUCACUCGUCUUCUCCUCUCUCAUGUCAAUGCUCUGAUUCCUAUCAAAUAUCUCCUCCUACUGUAGAUUCCUUGUGUCUCCGAGCGCCUCUCUUUAUUGGAAUCUGUCUCGAUAUUCUUACCUCUCUAUUGUUGAUUUGUCUUAGUCCCUUUUCUUCACAUCCCUGCCUUUCUACUCUUGGGACAGUCAUAUGAACAAUUCAGGAGCAGGGUGAGACCAGAGACACUGGACUAGACAUUUCCUAGAGGAGACAUGGCUCAGUAGGAGAACACUUGUCUUAAAUCCCUCCACGAGGGGAUGAGGACAGGCAUGCUCAGCAGGAGAGCAUCUCUAGAAUGCACAAGGGGUCUGGAGAUGUGUGCUCUUUGGAAAAGAACUUGCUUACCAUAGUAACAUACACAGCCCUGGGCUCCAUUCCUUGCAUGAGGUUGGUGAGGGGCAACUAAAGACUAAGGAAUUGUUUCUCGAACCCCUCACUCUCCAAAACAUAAGAAACCAGAACACAAAGUUUCCAUGUUUACAUCCCAUAGAGUCCAUUCAACUGAAUUAACCUACAUAGCAUCUUCUUAUGUGACAAGCUAAAUAAACACUACAGGCAAUUGAACUACUCACUAGAGGGAUUAUAAACUUGCAGUGAAGAACAAAUCUCAGUCAAUCACAGCAGUUGACCUGCUCCAGGCUGCCAACUACCUCAGCAUGGCUAAGUAAGGCAAAAGCAGAGCUGGCACCCAUCAAGCUGUGUGUCCAUGCCUGGAGCCCUCUGGUCUACAGACACUGAUGGGUGUUGUAACUCUGACCUUCCUCUAGUUCAGGAGUUUGCCCAUCAUGAAUGGGCUGUUGGAAAAAAUAAAUGCUAGUAAUUUUGAUCUCUCUUAGAGUUUAACAAGCCAAGCAAUAUUUAAGACAAAGAGACAAGUGUGCCAUGACAUGCCUCAUCUCCCCAGUGCUCACAGAUAAAUCCCUCCCUAGCCCCAAGACCUUACAAGCUCAUGGCAGUUCAUAGAUGAUGUCAUUUGCUCUUCUUGUUGUUCCCUAAGAAAAACAAUUCACUCUCUCUGCUAACCCACAGGCCACUCCUGCCCUGGGUCCAGGUAGGCUGACUGCAGAUCUUCACCUCUCCCUCUGUUCCCCAAGACCCAAACCCCAGUCCUAACCCCACCUCUGCAACAGAAACCUUGCUGCAGUCUUCUCUACCCACACUCCCCAUCUCUGUGGAUUUCCCUGAUCUUCCCAGCAGGCACCCCUUACUAACCAAAGGCCACUCUGACCAGGGAAGCAGGUAGGCUGACAGAGAAUCCACAUCUCUCCUUCUGAUUCUCCAGAUCCACCCCCACUGCCCCAGUCUCAGCUCCAGCUCUGCAGCAGAAUGCCUGCUGUGUUCCCCCUUUCCUCCCUGACACCAUAUGCAAUUAAUCACAAAAAUCUUCUCCUCCAAUCUUCAUUCCCCCAGCUCAUCCCAUUAUCCCAGGCUCCAACACCAGCAGGCAUUCCCUGGGACACACCAGCAGGGCAGGACAGGGAAACAGGUCCACAGAAAGCUUCCUAUGAGGAAACACACAGCCAUCAUGCUCACCUAAAACCCAGAAACCUAGAAACCAAACACCCACCCAACAAAGACAAACCCAGAGAUCAGCACCUAGACCUAUAAUCACCCCCAAACCAGAUUCUUGGAUGCCAGCAUAAAAACACAACCAGUAACAGCCAGGACAAUGUGUCUCCAUUAGAGCUCAGUAAUUUUGUCUACAAAGGUAUAAGAAUCUUAUAGAACACCAAGUAGUUGUAUCAGAAAAGAAAGGCCCAUUAACAUAUAAAUGCACAGAACAGGGAAAGAUUAUUAAAAGUUUCAAUACAAAAAGACCAAGCAACAUGUAAAGGCAAACCUAUUAGAAUUACACCUGACUUCUCAAUGGAGACUCUAAAAGCUAAAAGGGCCCAGACAGAUGUACUGCAGACUAAAAAAAAAAAAAAACCCCAUAGAUAUCAGCCUUGACAACAAUA